GACGUAGGGGGCGAGCGUUGUCCGGAUUUAUUGGGCGUAAAGAGCGCGUAGGCGGCCCGUUAAGUCGGAUGUGAAAACCCGUGGCUCAACCACGGGCCUGCAUCCGAUACUGGCGGGCUCGAGGCAGGCAGGGGAGAUCGGAAUUCCUGGUGUAGCGGUGAAAUGCGCAGAUAUCAGGAGGAACACCGGUGGCGAAGGCGGAUCUCUGGGCCUGUCCUGACGCUCAGGCGCGAAAGCUAGGGGAGCAAACAGG
rnacentral:rRNA from 2 species